rnacentral:lncRNA from 10 species
AAAGUCAAACAAAUAGAAAGGAUUUAAUGAAGGAUUGUGGGAAAUAGAAAACAACCCAGGAAUAAAGUUUACUGGAUGCCAGGCAAUUCAGCAACAAUAGUCUUCAGAAACUGAGGUAGAAGACACUGCCAGGGCAAGCAAUGAGGAAGAAGGUGAUAGAGUAGAAGAAGACGGAAAAAGCAAAAGAAAGAAUGAAAAAGCAGUCUAAAAGAAAAAAUAAAGUCAUACACUUCAAAGAAGCCCUCUAAACAUUUCCAGAAAUCUCCUGGAGAUGAAGAUGACAAAGAAUGCAAAGAAGAGAUAAAAGCAGAUCUGAAGAUGGAAAUGCCUGCAAUGACACAAGAAACACAGCUUCAAACUUGCAGAAAACCAGUGAAGGGACCUACCUACCAUAAUCAAUGCUGCAUAUUAAAAGAAAUCAUAAGAAAAUUAAAUGUUUGGUUGUCUUAUGUUUAUAUAUAUAUACUUUUUUUUUUUUUUUCUGAGACGGAGUCUUACUCUGUCGCCCAGGCUGGAGUGUAGUGGCAUGAUCUCGGCUCACUGCAACCUUCACCUCCCCUGUUCAAAAGAUUCUCCUGCCUCAGCCUCCGAGUAGCUGGGACUACAGGUAUGCAGCACCAUGCCUGGCUAAUUUUUGUAUUUUUAGUAGGUAUGAGGUUUUGUCAUGUUGACCAGGCUGGUCUCGAACUCCUGACCUCAGGCAAUCCACCCACCUUGGCCUCUCAAAGUGCUGGGAUUACAGGCGUGAGCCACCGCGCCUGGCCGAUGUUCUUAGAUUUUAUAUGAACCAACACAUAGUCCUUGCUAUUAUCGACAGAACCCCAGUUUUUAUGUACAUUAUUCAUAUUCCUCUCUGUUGUGGUUGAAAAAAAUACGUUAUCCUUUUUAAAGGUU